rnacentral:rRNA from 1 species
CAGUAGCCACGGUAAUACGUAGGGUGCAAGCGUUAAUCGGAAUUACUGGGCGUAAAGCGUGCGCAGGCGGUUAUAUAAGACAGAUGUGAAAUCCCCGGGCUCAACCUGGGAACUGCAUUUGUGACUGUAUAGCUAGAGUACGGCAGAGGGGGAUGGAAUUCCGCGUGUAGCAGUGAAAUGCGUAGAUAUGCGGAGGAACACCGAUGGCGAAGGCAAUCCCCUGGGCCUGUACUGACGCUCAUGCACGAAAGCGUGGGGAGCAAACAGGAUUAGAGACCCCAGUAGUCCCUGUCUCUUAUAC